rnacentral:tRNA from 1 species
CAUUAGAUGACUGAAAGCAAGUAAUGGUCUCUUAAACCAAAUAAUAGUAAAAUAGCAUUUACUUCUAAUGA